GCCCGUGUCGCAUCGCCACCCGGCUGCCGUCGCGUUUUUGGAGGGAGCUGCCGCUCGGUUCUCCGAGUGCCAACGCGGUCCGGAGGGCUCUCUGUCCCUCUGGGGCUUUUUAGCGGGACUUCAGUUUCUCCCGGCCUUAUCGGCUGAGCGGAGGUUGCAGCAGAACCUCUCGUCAUCCCGACCCGGUGAGAUGGCGGAAGCGGCGAGUGUUUAGGAGUCACUAGCUUCAGGAGCCUGAUCUCGCUCCCGUCAUGAAGGCGUGGUGGGAGAGCUCGCAUGACUGAAACGCUGUUGUGGAUGGCUGCGUUCCUUAUAGGAGAGACAAACGGGUGAGGUGGUGGGUUUCUCUUCCGGUGAGAGAACUGGAAUGUACUGAGCUUCCACGACAAGGUGAUGGGACAGCUUGGGUCUAGGUGACAGCUGCAAGUGACCUGAUGAGCAAAAAUUUCGAAGUAGUCCUGGUGAAUUCGGUGAGGGGAAGUGAUGCUGGACCAAGGAGGUAGCCUUCUGUGUUGUGACUGGUUAAACGAGAGGAGGGCUGUGGAUGGUAUGGGGGAAUACCUUACUGUCGGAAAUUAACUGAAGUGCAGGAGUCUUGCUGACGGUGACGACGGGCUCAUUCAGGCACCGACAGGAGGCGUGAGGUGGAAACAUUCACAGACCGGAACGUCAGAAGUUGCCUCCGGAUGCUGUUCCGGGUGAUG